rnacentral:rRNA from 1 species
AGUGAACGCUGGCGGUAGGCCUAACACAUGCAAGUCGAACGGCAGCACAGGAGAGCUUGCUCUCUGGGUGGCGAGUGGCGGACGGGUGAGGAAUACAUCGGAAUCUACUCUGUCGUGGGGGACAACGUAGGGAAACUUACGCUAAUACCGCAUACGACCUACGGGUGAAAGCAGGGGACCUUCGGGCCUUGCGCGAUUGAAUGAGCCGAUGUCGGAUUAGCUAGGUGGCGGGGUAAAGGCCCACCAAGGCGACGAUCCGUAGCUGGUCUGAGAUGAUGGUCCGCCACACUGGAACCGAGACACGGUCCAGACUCCUACGGGAGGCAGCAGUGGGGAAUAUUGGACAAUGGGCGCAAGCCUGAUCCAGCCAUACCGCGUGGGUGAAGAAGGCCUUCGGGUUGUAAAGCCCUUUUGUUGGGAAAGAAAUCCAGCUGGCUAAUACCCGGUUGGGAUGACGGUACCCAAAGAAUAAGCACCGGCUAACUUCGUGCCAGCCGCCGCCGUAA